rnacentral:rRNA from 1 species
UUGAUGUCUACAAUAAUAUAAAAACAGAAAUUUAUGGAGGUACAGCAAGGCAAUUCCCAACAAAUUUAAGGUAAAACAAAAAUUCUUUUUUUGUUUUAUAUUUUUAUUAUUAUUUUUAUAAUUAUAAAAAUUCUAUUUAUAAGAUAAAAUAAUUUAUAUCAAAUUAACAGACUCAAUAAGUAGCCUUAUCUGCGUUCAGGUUGCGGGGAUCUAGACAAUCUUACCUUUGGAAGCGAAUCUCGGAAUUACAUAAAUUGAUGGUAGAUAUUCAGACUGCUCAUGCUAAGUUGGGCAGUCAAGACGGAAACAGCCGAGAACACUGAUCAAGGUCCCAAAUGAUUGUUAAGUGAAAUUAAGGACGUAGCAAUAUCGAAUACAGCUGUGAAGUGAGCCUGGCAGUCGCUACUUAUAAUGAUCGUAUGUAACAACGCAUCAGCAGUCUAGAUAGUAGCGCCGAAAAUUUAACGGGUCUUAAACAAUCAACCGAUAUCGUGUUGGUUAAUAAUAAUAAAUUUGUUAUUAAUCUAGGUAGUAGAACAUUCAGUAAAACUUUAAAUCGAAUAGUGUUUCAUUAUUUUGUAGGAUACUGAAGAGAGAAUGCUGACAUGAGUAACGUAAAAAGAAGUUAUAAUACUUCUCGCCGAAUACGAAAGGGUUGCAAAUAGGAAAGGUUAAUCCGUUUUGUUUUAAUGCGGCCUCUAAGGGAUGUAGCUAAAGCUACUACUGAUGAGUCUAUAAUAGAAAGUCUAAUAUUUAAAAAAUAGACCAGGAAAUUAAUAUUAUAUUACUACCGUACCCUAAACCGACACAGGUUCGUAGGUAGAGAAUACUAAGGCGUAGAGCUAAAAGUUGUUAAGGAACUCGGCAAGAUCUCCUCCUAAGUUUGACGACAAGAGGGACCGUUAUAAGCUAGUUUAUUUAUAUUCUUAUUUUUUUAAUUAAUUUAAAUUAAUAUUGACAAUCCAUAAAAAAAAUCACUUAUAACGGUGACACAAAAUCGGAGGCCACGACUGUUUACUAAAAACACAACACAGUGCAAUCAUUAAUAUGAUAGUAUACUGUGUGAAAUUUGCCCGAUGCCAUUAAUAUAAGAGCGAUCAUGGUUUUCUGUGAUUAAUCGAAAAUCUGGUUAAUAGCGGUCUUAACUAUGAGGAUCCUAAGGUAGCAAAAUAAAUUGGCCUUUAAAUGAGGUCCGGUAUCAAUAAUGUAACGAUGGUCUCACUGUCUCUACAACUUGCUCAGUGAAAUUGAAUUACGCGUGCAGAUGCGCGUUGCCUUCAGGGGGACGGGAAGACCCUAUGCAGCUUCUACUGUAGUUAGUUAUCAUAUGAAUCUAGAACAAUCAAAAUUAAUAGUGAAUAGGGAAGUCGAUAGACAAAUAGUGGAAACCUUAAAAUUCUGAUUGGGUUUAUGUUUACCUUAAAUUUAAUAAAAAAAGGGAGAGUUUACUAAUUGGCAGUUUGACUGGGGCGGUCGUCUUUAAUAGAGUAGCAAAGUACAUCCAAAUAUUUCAUUUAAAACUAAAAAUUUAUUGUUUUAUAAAUUUUAUUACAAAAAACUUUAUUUUAUUUUAGUAUAAUUUAAAGUAAUAAUUAAUUUUAAUUAAUUAACAUUCUAAAUUUUUCUUUCUAAUCAUUAAUUUUAUAAGGUAUAGCUAGAAAUUGAAUGGAGAUCAAUCAACCAGUGAAGGGUUGCGCAGAGUUCAAUGGCGAUAAGCAUGCUUAACUGAAAGACCUAAAAGUCGCACAGAUACGUAAGUAGGGCAUAGUGACCCCUCGCUAUAAUAUGGGAUAGACGGGGAUCAAUUGAUAAAAGUUACGCUAGGGAUAA